CAACAUUAAUGGGAUUAUUCGCCCAUCAAGAAUGACACUGCUUUUGGGCCCUCCAAGUUCCGGGAAGACCACCUUGCUUUUAGCACUUGUCGGUCGACUUGGUCCUGGACUAAAGAUGUCUGGGAGCAUUACUUACAACAGCCACCAUCUAAAUGAAUUUGUGCCUCAAAGAACAUCUGCUUAUGUAAGUCAGCAAGACUGGCAUGCUUCAGAGAUGACCGUCAGAGAAACCCUGGAGUUUGCUGGGUGCUGUCAGGGUGUUGGUAUAAAGU